GGGGCAGCGCAGGUGUUGAACUUCUGACCUUUGGCUCCUUUCACUUCCUGUUAGCAACAGGUCAACCUUCGGCUGACGUUAGCAUUAGCAUUAGCACUGUUAUAACGUUACCGCCGGAGUCACUGACACGAGCAGGAAAAGGAAGAGGAAGAGGAAGCGGAAGCGGAGGAGGAGGAGGAGGAGGAGGAAGCGGAACUGCACCUGCUGCAUGCCGGGGAAUGUAUUUCUCCGACGCUUCCCGCCACACCUGGAAACUGUGAGCGAAGUUUGACAUUUKGUCUGCGUCGUUUGAAAACUUCCUGAGGAUCCAUAACGUGACGGUUUAAUAUCAGAGAGAGAACAAGGAGCCUGGACUGAGACUAAACCACGGAUUCUUCUUCAUCAACCACAACAACACACUGUGUUUCCUCAUCACGUCUUCAUGGCAGUGUUCCAGUAGCACCAUUGAGGCUGGGGUCACUUCCUAAUCCUUUUGGGGUCACACGGAUCAACAAAGAGAACAGAUGACACAGCACAGAGGUUCAUGUUGUCUGGAGGGAGAAGGUAGAUCUGGUCCUUGAUCAAGUGGAGGCAUUUGUGUCAGUGCCCAUACAGUGGAUUUGGGAUCAAGUUACUUCAGAGAAA